UAGAGAAGUUCUACUGUUUGAUAGUGGACAAACAGCAACCCACAAUGUAAGUCUUAAUGAUGAAAAAGCAGCUCGUCCCAUUACGACAGCUGACAAAGGUUCAACUGUGUGCAACAGCAAUGGUGACAGCUAUGUGAACUACAGAAGUGAGAUAGAGUAGGAAAUGAAGUUUGAAAUCAAAAGCCAAUUGACAGGAAGACAACUCACCCUGUUGGCGAGGUCAUUGGAAACGACUCGCCCUAUUGGCAAGGAUAACAGCAAGAGACUGACAAUAAUGAACUAUGGAACUGACUGUGUGCAUAAUGAACUUUACAGACUUGCGACAUUUAGUGUAUUUGGAAUUAACGUAGUUCCUGUAAAAUCUCUCUCAGGUAUGUGGAGGGCUCAUCUCACUCUCUCAAACUU
rnacentral:lncRNA from 1 species